ACGACGUGCCGUCUACGCGGCGUUGCCGUCUGCUGGGGAGCCGCCCGUACCGACACGGGGCGGCAGAGACGAGAGGA
rnacentral:ncRNA from 1 species